GCAAUGGUGGUUCAGUGGUAGAAUUCUUGCCUUACAUACAGGAGACGUGGGUUCGAUUCCAGCCAACGCG
rnacentral:tRNA from 1 species